rnacentral:lncRNA from 1 species
CAAAGUAAGUUCACAAAAAUAUUCUUACAAAAGUUUGGCAUGAAGAAAGCUAUAUCUAUGACCCCAUAUUGUAGAGUUUAAAAAUGAUGAGCAAGGUAAUUUUAUUGUUUGAAGCUGUAUUACUAUAUCAUACAGCUUGUAGGCCAAAUUGUAUGCUCAUUUUGUGCUUAUAUGCAAAGAUAUCAAACUAAUUCUAAUGAAUCACAU